rnacentral:ncRNA from 1 species
AGUGUGCGAGCGCUGCAGGGUCGCUGGCCAUAUUUGGUGUGUUCCGGCGUUCUACGUCCCGGACAAAGAGGGCCUGAGGUCCCACCCUCAUGUCAUCAAGGUCAAAGCCGAGGAAGAAGGAUUUGGAGGUUUUGGAGUAACCUAAAGAGGAGUUUGUUGGGAUAACGGAGCGUGGAGAACGAUGGAAUUGAUUAAAUCACCUAGUGUGAGAUGCGGAGAGGACGGUCUUUCUGAAGACCGCCGCAUGCGGCAGCAAAAGGAGGAAGGCAUGACGCCUGGCCGCUCGCUCAUGGCCAAUACCAGUGGUCAGAGCUUAGAAGGGCAUACCCCUAUGUGGUUAUUAAUACCACUUUAGGGGACUCGCACCGGUGAGUGCGUGUAAAGAGCGUGUGGCGGAAACGCCCACAAUGUCGGUCUAGGGAAAGCAUGUUGGGAUAGCAUGCCGGGACCGGGGUGGAGGUGGGUUGAAAAAAAAAAAUAGCCAAAUGCCUCGUCAUCUAAUUAGUGACGCGCAUGAAUGGAUUAACGAGAUUCCCACUGUCCCUAUCU